rnacentral:rRNA from 1 species
GAUGAACGCUGGCGGCGUGCCUAAUACAUGCAAGUCGAGCGAACAGACGAGGAGCUUGCUCCUCUGACGUUAGCGGCGGACGGGUGAGCAACACGUGGAUAACCUACCUAUAAGACUGGGAUAACUUCGGGAAACCGGAGCUAAUACCGGAUAAUAUAUUGAACCGCAUGGUUCAAUAGUGAAAGACGGUUUUGCUGUCACUUAUAGAUGGAUCCGCGCCGCAUUAGCUAGUUGGUAAGGUAACGGCUUACCAAGGCAACGAUGCGUAGCCGACCUGAGAGGGUGAUCGGCCACACUGGAACUGAGACACGGUCCAGACUCCUACGGGAGGCAGCAGUAGGGAAUCUUCCGCAAUGGGCGAAAGCCUGACGGAGCAACGCCGCGUGAGUGAUGAAGGUCUUCGGAUCGUAAAACUCUGUUAUUAGGGAAGAACAAAUGUGUAAGUAACUAUGCACGUCUUGACGGUACCUAAUCAGAAAGCCACGGCUAACUACGUG